rnacentral:pre_miRNA from 1 species
UAUAAUUUUGACUCUUCAUCUUAUUCAAAAUUUUUUUAUAAUUGAUAUUUUUGUUUUUAUUAGAUGAUAAAUCAUGAAUAGUAUUUUACGUGUGACUAAUUUUUUUCUAAUUACUAAAAUAUUUUUAAAUAAGAUGAUGGUCAAACGUUAGACACGAAAACCGGAG